UUUUGUUGCUUAUAAUAAAUUGGAAUGUUGAUAACACAUAAGCAGUCUUUAAUAAUGCUCAAAAUUACAUGUAGAUGCAUAUUUUAUGCAUUAGUGAGUGUGGUGGUGCCUAUGGGGUGUCCCUCUAGGAUGGAUGCGUAUGAGGCUGAGAGGGGGAAAAACGUAUACUCACAGUAUACUCACUACAAAAAACUAGACUACACCACUGUAUAAAACGUCUUGUUUUAAAUUCUCACUGAGGGCUAAGCCCCCCUAAAGAUGAAAUCCUAGAACCGCCCCUGCCCUACUCGUAAUUUAUUCAUUUAUUUAAUGAAAAAAAAACAACAAAAAAAACGGCGUCACCCGCAUGUCCAUGUGUACAUGUGUAAUACAAAAUAUAUUUAUGUAUUAUUUAUGUCUCCCCACAGUCUUUAUUUUAGCUGCUUCAUAACAUUAAGCCUUGAUAGACCACUGACACAACCCCCAAUACUAAUCCAUCUCCUCUCAGGGAUUCAAAAGAAAACCGCUUUUUUCCUGUUUUCACCAUGUUGUGGGGUGAUUGCAGUUACUUUGUUUAAGAAGAUAAGUUCAGGAAGUUCCCUUCCUCAGAAAGCCUGCUUUACACUGUGUGGUUUGGGCUGCUAUUCCUCAGAUAUGAUGAUCAUAAUAAAAUGCUGCAUGAAUUCUUAAGAUUACUAGAUGUUUUUUAAAAACUUACGAUUAAAGAAAAUGUCAUCUAUCAGCACAGGCUAGGCUUGAGGAGGAAAACAUGGGUCCAAGACGGAAGGAAGAGAAUGGAUAGCUCUUUACUGUGUGUGUUAUACUGCUGUGCAGCAAGAGCAGCAGUUUAAAAAGUUUGGAUGUGAUGGCAUGGCUUCACGUGUCUGCGAUCAAACCUCUCAAAGUAUGUUACACGUCAGAAAGGAACACCACACCAUGGACUUGCCUCAACCUAACAUGUAUGAUGAUUAUGAUGAAGAUUACGAUAAGAGCUCUGGAUUUAGCUCAGAUCUAUCUCUGCAGCAUGAGACUUCAUCUACUCCACCAUUAAGGGAUAGGUCAUGCUCUUUAGUAAGAGCAGAACUCUGAGAGAUCUGUCUAUUCCCAUCAACUCUAAAGCAGAUCCUGACACACCAGUUUGAAAUCUAUAAGAGAACAAGAAGACGACAAGAGGCUGAAAACUGAGACACUGAAAUAAACACAAAAAAGGAAGCAGCAUCACUCACAAUUACAAAGUAAAUGCACUGGAUAUAAACCAAUGUAUUUUUAUCAUGUGUAAUUUAUUUAAUCCAGUGCCGGAUGAUUAAGGAGGAAAUGCAAAUAACAUCUCAUAAAAAAAAACUACCAACAACAAGUGAUAAAGAAUCUACCAGCUUGUAGAACAUCAGCAUAUUUUACUUAGUAUAAUAUCUAUAAUCAUUCUGGCUUUCCUGUAUGUGCAAUAGAAUAAUUUGAGAAUAUAAUGUUCUUUGUAAUUUUAAAUCGUAUUAUUUGUAAUUCCAUAACCUUGGUAUAAGGUAUCAUGUAAGUAAAGAAUGAAUGUCAGGAAAACUUUUGUGAUAUUAAAGUCAUAAUUUAUACAUUAUUAUUAUUUUGUAAAGCAGAGAAUCCUAUAAAUAAUGUACUCAGAAUUUAAACACAGCUACUUCCUACAAACCCUACAUGUCUUGAUAUGUUAUGACCAACAGAGGGAGAUAUGCUACAUGUAAUAGGGCUCUUUAUUUAACCACAAUUUAAAUGUAAGGUUAUGUUGGCUUCUAAGCCAACAUUCUGUUUUCCUAUUUAAGCUUAGACAAAAAUUUAUCAAGAGUAACUCCUCCUAGGGAUUUCGAGCCACAUGCACCAAAUCUGGAUAUGUUGUAGAC